rnacentral:rRNA from 1 species
UACGUAGGGGGCAAGCGUUGUCCGGAGUUACUGGGCGUAAAGCGCACGCAGGCGGUCUGUUAAGUUUGGAGUGACAGUUGGUGGCUUAACUGCCAAAGUGCUUCGAAAACUGAUCGACUUGAGGGCUUCAGAGGGACACGGAAUUCCGGGUGGAGUGGUGAAAUGCGUAGAGAUCCGGAGGAACACCGAAGGCGAAGGCAGUGUCC